rnacentral:lncRNA from 1 species
GAGGCGCGGCUUUGCCCCAUUCUGCAGAUGGGGACCCUGGGCCCAGAGGGCUGUGCGCAUGAGCUGAGCUCGCGGCAGGACGAGGGGACAGGAAAGGCCAGUCCCCAUCCAGGCUCAGCCUCUCCGCUCGUCCCCAGCAGGGGAGCUGGGGGGGGACAGCCAGUUUCCACGUCACCUUCUCUUGGACCGCAGCCCUUUUCUGCCCCUUCCUGGCUGUGUGACAUUGGGCAGUGUGUCCACCUCUCUGGGCCUCUCUGUCCCCAUCAAAGGGUGGUUCCAGGGGUAAAAGCUGAGCGGUGCUGUGAUUUGUCGUCUGUCGCAGAGGACGGCCCUCUAGUGCUGAGAGCCCGAGGGCUUGGGUUGUGGGGCUGGGGACAGAAGGGCUCGGAGGGCCACAGAGCUGGAAAGUGGUGGCGUCCACCUUGCAAAUCGCAAGCCCACGCUGCCCUGGAUGACCCGGAUCCGAAAAAGGCCCCUAGUUUUCCGAAACUGCUUGGACCCCGAGGAGGGCCUGCUGGCGGGGCUAAUUCCCCAGGACUGCACUGCGCGGCUCAGUGGGUGACAGAGAUCAGGAUAUAAUUCGUCCCUGAGACAGGGUGGCAGAAGUUCCAGGGCGAGAUUCCCAUGUGGGUAUGGCGGGUGCGUCCCCAGGCCUCUUUGUUGAGACUUAGCACAGACCAGGCUCCGGAGGACAGUGGGGACAUCUUUGGGCAUCAGCUGAGGGCCCAGCAGUGUGCUGGGGGGACGGCGCACUGACGGAGCCACUCAGAACCCAGCCUGGAAGGUCGUACCGAGUGCAGAGGCCCAGAGAGGUGGGGACACUUGCCCAAGGGUAAACAGCUGAAGAGUGGAGUCAGGAUCGGGACGGAGCCCACUCUGAACCUCUGUUCCUUCCCCUGGGAAGCCGAGAGAGAAACCAUGUCCAGUCCCCGGAUGAUCUGAGGAGGUUCCCGGAGGGAGUGGGGGGCACUCGUCCCAGGAGGUGACCUGUGUCCUGAGUCCCGGGUCUUCCUGGCCGUGUGUGGGGCUGGGCGUUGGUGAGGAAGGGGGACCCCAGCUCUGGGGCUGGAGGGGUG